UCUUAGGUGACUGAGUUAUAAGUGUUAGAUUUUUAAUCUAAAAACGGCAGCUUGAUGUUUUGCCCCUAAGAA
rnacentral:tRNA from 1 species